rnacentral:rRNA from 1 species
UAGGCGUGUGACUGCGUACCUUUUGUAUAAUGGGUCAGCGACUUAUAUUCUGUAGCAAGGUUAACCGAAUAGGGGAGCCGAAGGGAAACCGAGUCUUAACUGGGCGUUAAGUUGCAGGGUAUAGACCCGAAACCCGGUGAUCUAGCCAUGGGCAGGUUGAAGGUUGGGUAACACUAACUGGAGGACCGAACCGACUAAUGUUGAAAAAUUAGCGGAUGACUUGUGGCUGGGGGUGAAAGGCCAAUCAAACCGGGAGAUAGCUGGUUCUCCCCGAAAGCUAUUUAGGUAGCGCCUCGUGAAUUCAUCUCCGGGGGUAGAGCACUGUUUCGGCAAGGGGGUCAUCCCGACUUACCAACCCGAUGCAAACUGCGAAUACCGGAGAAUGUUAUCACGGGAGACACACGGCGGGUGCUAACGUCCGUCGUGAAGAGGGAAACAACCCAGACCGCCAGCUAAGGUCCCAAAGUCAUGGUUAAGUGGGAAACGAUGUGGGAAGGCCCAGACAGCCAGGAUGUUGGCUUAGAAGCAGCCAUCAUUUAAAGAAAGCGUAAUAGCUCACUGGUCGAGUCGGCCUGCGCGGAAGAUGUAACGGGGCUAAACCAUGCACCGAAGCUGCGGCAGCGACGCUGAUGCGUUGUUGGGUAGGGGAGCGUUCUGUAAGCCUG